rnacentral:rRNA from 1 species
UACAUGUGGGGCAAGCGUUGUUCGGAAUUACUGGGCGUAAAGCGCACGUAGGCGGAUUGUUAAGUCGGGGGUGAAAUCCUGGAGCUCAACUCCAGAACUGCCUUCGAUACGGGCAGACUAGAGUUCGGCAGGGGAGACUGGAAUUCCUGGUGUAGCGGUGAAAUGCGCAGAUAUCAGGAGGAACACCGGUGGCGAAGGCGGGUCUCUGGGCCGAUACUGACGCUGAGGAGCGAAAGCGUGGGGAGCGAACAGG